UACGUAGGGACCAAGCGUUGUUCGGAUUUACUGGGCGUAAAGGGCGCGUAGGCGGCGUGGUAAGUCAGUUGUGAAAUCUCCGAGCUUAACUCGGAACGGCCAACUGAUACUGCUGUGCUAGAGUGCAGAAGGGGCAAUCAGAAUUCUUGGUGUAGCGGUGAAAUGCGUAGAUAUCAAGAGGAAUACCUGAGGUGAAGACGGGUUGCUAGGCUGACACUGACGCUGUGGCGCGAAAGCCAGGGGAGCAAACGGG
rnacentral:rRNA from 1 species